AUCACUCCAAUCUCUGGCUCUUUGGUCCCCUCGUCUUCUUUUCUGUUGUCAAGUCUACCUCUGCAUCUCUCGUAUAAACACAAUUAUGAUGGGCGGUGAUGGAGAAAAUCCUUGCGGGUUUUUGAAUGAUGGAGGAAGUUUAGGAAUAGAAGAAAUUGAGAAGAUGUAGUCCAUACCUCAGAAACAAGACUUGAAUAGUGUUACACAAACAAAAAAAGCCAGAAUUAUGGUUACCAUCAGCUACAUAGGAACGCCAACUAAGAAAACCUAAGUCAAAUGCUUUUUAGCCCCCUUAAUGUCUUCAGGAAUGUUCUAUGAAAAGACCUCAUAUCAGAGCCAAGAGAAAUUGGAAGGAGUUGCUACUGCCUCAAAAUUCGCUUAAAUAAACACUUUCAUAUAGGGUAUUAUACAAUGUGUACAGGUAUUAGCUAUCCUAAUGAACAUUUGUUUAACACAAAGCAUUUGCUUUAUCGUAACAACUAAAAUCCCAAAAUGCAAUCUAAAUAAUAAUGAACACAUACACAUACUCACAUAUAUGCUUUCAGCUUGCUUGAAUAUGGGUAAGAGACUCUAGAAAAUUGUACUAGUUAGAUCUAUCACAAACAAUUGCAAAGGACUCUGGAUUCCAGUUUAGACUGUGUCUUUGAAGGUCUGCUUCAACUUUUUAUUUUUUUAUUUAAAAUUUUUUUUUAGCUUUAACUUUUCUAACAUUCAUCAUUCCAGCAUUUCCUUGUGCUCAGAAGAAAUUCCAUCUUUCUACACAGAAGAGAAGCCUCUCUUAUCUUACAGGGAAAUUAUCUUUUGGGAUCUUAUGAAGAACUUCUUAUGUAUCUUUUUCAGUAUCCAAUUCAGUUCUAAGAUCUACGAGGACUUUGAGGUUUUAUGGAGACUGUAAGC